UUUUUUCUAUAUUAUAGGGAAUAAUUUUUUUUCCAGUAAAAGUAGGCGUAUGGGUUCGAGUCCCAUGGAGUAGA
rnacentral:tRNA from 1 species